rnacentral:rRNA from 1 species
CAGUCGCCGCGGUAAUACGGAGGAUCCGAGCGUUAUCCGGAAUUAUUGGGUCUAAAGGGUGCGUAGGCGGAUAGAUAAGUCAGUGGUGAAAGACGGUGGCUCAACCAUCGCAGUGCCGUUGAUACUGUUUAUCUUGAAUAUGGAUGAGGUAGGCGGAAUGUGGCAAGUAGCGGUGAAAUGCAUAGAUAUGCCACAGAACACCGAUUGCGAAGGCAGCUUACCAAGGCAAAAUUGACGCUGAGGCACGAAAGCGUGGGGAUCGAACAGGAUUAGAUACCCCAGUAGUCCCUGUCUCUGAUAC